rnacentral:rRNA from 1 species
CAGGCCUAACACAUGCAAGUCGAGCGGAAACGACAACAUUGACCCUUCGGGUGAUUUGUUGGGCGUCGAGCGGCGGACGGGUGAGUAAUGCCUGGGAAAUUGCCCUGAUGUGGGGGAUAACCAUUGGAAACGAUGGCUAAUACCGCAUAAUGUCUACGGACCAAAGAGGGGGACCUUCGGGCCUCUCGCUUCAGGAUAUGCCCAGGUGGGAUUAGCUAGUUGGUGAGGUAAUGGCUCACCAAGGCGACGAUCCCUAGCUGGUCUGAGAGGAUGAUCAGCCACACUGGAACUGAGACACGGUCCAGACUCCUACGGGAGGCAGCAGUGGGGAAUAUUGCACAAUGGGCGCAAGCCUGAUGCAGCCAUGCCGCGUGUAUGAAGAAGGCCUUCGGGUUGUAAAGUACUUUCAGUCGUGAGGAAGGCGUUGGAGUUAAUAGCUGCUAUUGUUUGACGUUAGCGACAGAAGAAGCACCGGCUAACUCCGUGCCAGCAGCCGCGGUAAUACGGAGGGUGCGAGCGUUAAUCGGA